UACGGAGGGGGCUAGCGUUAAUCGGAGUUACUGGGCGUAAAGGGCGCGUAGGCGGUUUUAUAAGUUAGUUGUGAAAUACCUGGGCUUAACCUGGGAACUGCAACUAAGACUGUGAGACUGGAGUACUGUAGAGGGUAGUGGAAUUUCCGGUGUAGCGGUGAAAUGCGUAGAGAUCGGAAGGAACACCAGUGGCGAAGGCGGCUACCUGGACAGAUACUGACGCUGAGGCGCGAGAGCGUGGGGAGCAAACAGG
rnacentral:rRNA from 1 species